AAAUCGCUGAGUCGGCUCCCUUGCCCUCUUGUUUCACCUCUUGGAAGGAACUCCUCUUCAAGUCCAGGCUGGUCACGGGCAGCUUCCCUCAGUGAUGAACUAUGAUAUGUUGUUACCUGAAAGAAACCCUCUCCUCCCUAAGUUGUUUUUGGUCAGUACGCUGGAUAGUUUGAUGUCAACGUGAUGCGAGCUGGAGUCAUUGGAGAAGUGGGAACCCCAAAAGGUUGAGCAAGCCAUGUGGAGCAAGUCUGUAAGUAGCAAGUAGCACCCCUCCGUGGCCUCUGCAUCAGCUCCUGGUUCCAGUUUCCUGCCAUGAC
rnacentral:lncRNA from 1 species